rnacentral:misc_RNA from 1 species
GAUGAAGAACGCAGUGAAAUACGAUAAGUAAUGUGAAUUGCAGAAUUCAGUGAAUCAUCGAAUCUUUGAACGCACAUUGCGCCCGGUAGUAUUCUGCCGGGCAUGCCUGUUCGAGCGUCAUUUCAACCAUCAAGCCCCAGCGCUUGUGUUGGGGGCCUGCGGCUGCCGCAGCCCCCUAAAAGCAGUGGCGGGCUCGCUAUCACACCGAGUGCAGUAGUUCAUCUUCUCUCCGGUCUUGUGAGGCGGGUUCCGGCCGUGAAACACCCCACUACAUUCAAGGUUGACCUCGGAUCAGGUAGGAAUACCCGCUGAACUUAAGCAUAUCAAUAAGCGGAGGA